rnacentral:rRNA from 1 species
GACGGAGGAUGCAAGUGUUAUCCGGAAUCACUGGGCGUAAAGCGUCUGUAGGUGGUCAAAUAAGUCAACUGUUAAAUCUUGAGGCUCAACCUCAAAAUCGCAGUCGAAACUAUUAGACUAGAGUAUAGUAGGGGUAAAGGGAAUUUCCAGUGGAGCGGUGGAAAUGACGUAGAGGAUUGGAAAGAACACCGAUGGCGAAGGCACUUUACUGGGCUAUUACUAACACUCAGAGACGAAAGCUAAGGGUAGCA